AUUGAACGCUGGCGGCAGGCCUAACACAUGCAAGUCGAACGAGAAGCGGACGGGUGAGUAAUGUCUGGGAAACUGCCUGAUGGAGGGGGAUCACUACUGGACACGGUAGCUAAUACCGCAUACCAUCGGAUGUUCCCAGAUGGGAUUAGCUAGUAGGUGGGGUAAAGGCUAACCAAGGCGACGAUCCCUAGCUGGUCUGAGAGGAUGACCAGCAAAACUGGAACUGAGACACGGUCCAGACUCCUACGGGAGGCAGCAUUGGGGAAUAUUGCACAAUGGGAGCAAGCCUGAUGCAGCAUGCCGCGUGUAUGAAGAAGGCCUUCGGGUUGUAAAGUACUUUCAGCGGGGAGGCGUUACCCGCAGAAGAAGCACCGGCUAACUCCGUGCCAGCAGCCGCGGUAAUUC
rnacentral:rRNA from 1 species